rnacentral:rRNA from 1 species
GAUGAACGCUGGCGGCGUGCUUAAUACAUGCAAGUCGAGCGAACGGACGAGAAGCUUGCUUCUCUGAUGUUAGCGGCGGACGGGUGAGUAACACGUGGAUAACCUACCUAUAAGACUGGGAUAACUUCGGGAAACCGUAUCUAAUACCGGAUAAUAUUUUGAACCGCAUGGUUCAAUAGUGAAAGACGGUCUUGCUGUCACUUAUAGAUGGAUCCGCGCUGCAUUAGCUAGUUGGUAAGGUAACGGCUUACCAAGGCAACGAUGCAUAGCCGACCUGAGAGGGGGGUCGGCCACACUGGAACUGAGACACGGUCCAGACUCCUACGGGAGGCAGCAGUAGGGAAUCUUCCGCAGUGGGCGGGAGCCUGACGGAGCGACGCCGCGUGAGUGAUGGAGGUCUUCGGAUCGUAAAACUCUGUUAUUAGGGAAGAACAUAUGUGUAAGUAACUGUGCACAUCUUGACGGUACCUAAUCAGGAAGCCACGGCUAACUACGUG